CAGUAGCCGCGGGAAUACGAAGGGGGCUAGCGUUGCUCGGAAUGACUGGGCGUAAAGGGCGCGUAGGCGGCGAUCAAAGUCAGGCGUGAAAUUCCUGGGCUCAACCUGGGGGCUGCGUUUGAUACUUGAUUGCUAGAGUGGGGAAGAGGGUCGUGGAAUUCCCAGUGUAGAGGUGAAAUUCGUAGAUAUUGGGAAGAACACCGGUGGCGAAGGCGGCGACCUGGUCCUUGACUGACGCUGAGGCGCGAAAGCGUGGGGAGCAAACAGGAUUAGAUACCCGUGUAGUCCCUGUCUCUUAUAA
rnacentral:rRNA from 1 species